GACGUAGGGCGCGAGCGUUGUCCGGAUUUAUUGGGCGUAAAGAGCUCGUAUGGCGGCUUGUCGCGUCGAAUGUGAAAACUCGGGGCUCAACUCCGAGCUUGCAUUCGAUACGGGCAGACUAGAGUGCGGUAGGGGAGACUGGAAUUCCUGGUGUAGCGGUGAAAAUGCGCAGAUAUCAGGAGGAACACCGGUGGCGAAGGCGGGUCUCUGGGCCGUAACUGACGCUGAGGAGCGAAAGCUAGGGGAGCAAACAGG
rnacentral:rRNA from 1 species